CUGGAGUAGCAAGGAAAGCACAAGGCAUUUUAUGCCUUUCACAAUUCAAAGCAAAGCCAAAUUAUGUGCAUUAAUAACAGUCUCAAACAUUUUUAUUUUCACUUAAAGAUUCUUUACGUUGUAAGGAAAAAAACACAACUCUUAAACAUGGGCUCUAAUGAAGACAUCGGGGCUACUGUGUUCAACUAUUUCCCCCUUUCCUCCAACUCUUUUUUAGGAUUGGUGGAGGGUAAAGAUCGGAAGUAGUUUAUUUAUGCUAAUGAAGGAGUUGGGGGUUGUAGAUAUUUACGUUCAACGGGAGCCGCCCUUCAUUCACCCACAUGGUUAUAGGCAGGUUGUAUUCGCGCCACUUUCGCAAUUUACUAUGAUUUACAAAGUCCGGUCGGGGCGCAUUUCACACUCGUUUGGAUUUGCUUCAUGCCCUCUACUUCAGCAUAAUAGCAAAUUAAAAGUUUGCGGCGUACUUUUCGCACAUUUGCCUGUAACGUUGACAGUAAACGAACUUUCGUGAUGUUCUCUCGUCAAGCAAUUCGUCACUGUUGAAUACUCAGUUUGCCGUAUUGACCCAUGGAUGAAAGCCCUUGCAGAAUUUCACCGUUUGCAGUCACAGUAUUGCCAAAGUGCUUACAGUGCAGGUAGUACUAUGGAAUAUCUACUGCAGUGGAGGCACUUCUAGCAAUACUCUGGCCAUGGCGAACUAGUGUUGGAAUUUUGAUGUUCAUGUUGACACCUUCAAUAACAACUUUGUGCUAAGGUGCAUCUAGUGCAGAUAGUGGAGUAGACUAGCACCUACUGCCCUAAGUGCUCCUUCUGGCAUGAGGGCCUGUUAUAUGCAACUAAAUACACGUGGAAAUGUUGUCUUCUGUUGUCACGUUAAUUCCUUAAUUUUUGCAGUUCUCUGCUAGUUUUGCAUAGUUGCACUACAAGAAAACAUGAGUUGUGCAAAUCUAUGCAAAACUGAUGGUGGCCUGCUUUGUUCACCACCUUUCCCCCCAAAAAACAAAACUUUAAAAAAAAUUGGUGUGUGGGUGUAUGAUUGGUGUCCCAUAUUCAUGCUGGUGUCCCCCCUCCAUCCCUAGUCCUUCUUUACAGAUGUGUGUUGUGUGAAAUGAGUUUCAGCAGUGCUAAAGUGCUUAUAGUGCAGGUAGUUUUUAAAGUCCUCUACUGCAGUGUGAGCACUUGAAGUACUUCUAGCUAUGUGCGUCUGGAUGGGAACACCAUGGUGUCGGACCCACUCCUUAUCCGCUGGCCGGGUACUGCUAGUUUUGCUGGUUUGCAGUCAGCUUUAACAGAUGGAUGCUGUGCAAAUCCAUGCAAAACUGACAGUGACGGCAAAUUGACUCCAAAACUGUUUAAUUGUGUUUGUGGUCCCUUUCUGCGCAGGUUGGGAUAGGUGGCAAUGCUGUGCACUGGAAAGGUAUUGCACUUGUCCCGGCCUGUUGAGGAUUGAGGAGAUUAUGCCCCUGAUGUAAAAUGCUUGACUUUGUAGUAUUGCAUUAAUGUUUCUCUAAAAUGCAUGAUUGGGUAUUUAAAAAAGAAUUUGAAUAAAACUGCUACAACAUGCACGGUUUCUCUACUGUGAUAUUAAAUAUUGGUGUGAAGGGGUACCAUUGUGUAUGUGACUAUAUUUCUGAGAGGCUUUCAUUUUGUUGUCUGUUUAUGAAUGCAUGAAGUCUUUUGUAUUGAGUGAAUAUUACAGUUUUUACUUUUUAAUAAAAUAAAAUCUGAAUUUAAUUUGAGCCAAUCAGAUGUGCGCUUCACUAUUUUGCCCUUGGAUGGGAAGUGCAGAAUCUGUGGAAAAGUAUUCAAAUUCUAGAUUGUUUGUAUAAAUUCUGCAAUCUGAAAAGCAUUGAAUUGUCCUCAAGGAAUUGUUCAGGCUUUUGUAUUUAUCUCUGGGACAAACAAAUGCUACAAUGCUUACUUUUUUAUAUACUGUUGUUUAAUGUAGCCUAAAUAAAUUGUCAUUGAGAAGUAAACGUUUCUUGUGUUAUUCAUAAUGAACAUUCUUCUGUGGGGCAAAGGUAUGUGCAUGUAAAAAGAGUGAAGUGUGUUAAUGCAAUAGUACCUACAUGAUCUGGAAAAUCUUGUGUUUCUCCUAGCGGUGUAAUUUGGAAAUUUCAGACACGUGCUGGAAAUUAUGUUUUACUACCAGGGGUAUGAAAUCGAAUACGUUAUUAUGAACGUGAUCAAAUUGCAUGUAUUUCAAUGCAGAGUAUAUGACGGAGACAAUAUAGUGUGGCCUGUAAUGUACAAUACUAUUUUCAAGUGGAUAUAUCAGGUGGUGUCCUGUAGCCUACGUGUAGAGAAGUUUGACACAAAACUCCCCCUGUAAAUAACGUCUAGAAAUGCUACGAGCGUGCAAUGAGGAUGUGGGUAGCCCGGUAGUUAACAGGUCUCACCAUUUGUGGUUGGCCUUGUACUAGCCGUUGGCUAUUCUACAGAUGGUUUAGUCCAAUCCAAUUAAGCGACUGCAAAGUGAGCUAAGUCACCCUGUUAGUCGGUGUUUGUUUUACGAUCCAUAACAUGUAAAGCACACCCUUUGAGGCACCCGUAUAUGAUUAUGGCCUUAAAAAGUCCUUCCUGUGUAUUAAAUAUCCACCCCACAAAUUAUUUAAAGCAGAGCGUUUUCAUUGCAUUUUGAACUCGAGGACGUGCAAAUUAUGCAGUCUAUUAGCAGCACGAUUUGUCGCUGAUGAUGAUGGCUUCAAACCCUAUCAUGAUAACACG
ensembl:lncRNA